rnacentral:rRNA from 1 species
GUCUUUGGCCAUGCUACCCUGAACAUGCCUGAUCUCUUCUGAUCUUGGAAGCUAAGGAGGGUCGAAUCUGGUUAGUACUUGAAUGGGAGACCACCUAGGAAUACCAGGUGGUGUAGGGG